GAUCUUCUCAGAGAGAACUGUCGGUUUCAGUGUUUUCUCUUGCCUGUUGCUCUGCAUCAGUGAAGGCGUUGGAUGCUCACUGCCUGCUGUGCAGCACAACUCAUGGAUAAUGGCCCAAAUAUUCUCUCCAGAGAAACAAGUCGUUUGGAAACUGCAUUACACCAUCAGCGUGGUAUUAGAUAUUCCUUGCCAAGUGAUCCCACUGAAUGCCAGCUGGAAUAAGAUUAGCUCCUCCUGAACCUGAGACAUGAAACAAUGACUGCCAGAGACUCCUGGUCUGCAUUUGAACUCUCCAGAAGAUGAAGUGUCCUUCCAUCUCUAUUUCUUCUUCUUCCCCGUGAAAGUCAAGCUGUGAGCAUGUGAGGGGGCAGUGCAUCUCAAUUGCAUCCUGCCAUCGUCCUGAUAAAUCCAGCAGUAUGUGGCAGAACCUUCUCUUCUUUGUGAUGAACAGCCCCAGCUCUCAUCCUGUCCUUGUAGAGAAGUGUUCCAUCCCUUGGAUCAUUUUUUUGGCCCUUGUCUGAAUGUGCUCCAACAGCUCCAUGUCUCUCCUGUAUUGAGGACUCCACAUCUGGACACAGUACUCCAGGUGAAGUCUCGCAGCACAGAUCAGAGGGACAGGAUCACUCCCUUGACUUGCUGGCCAUGCUCCUUUUGAUGCAGCCCAGGAUAUGGUUGGAUUUCUGGGCUGUGAGGGUACAUUGCUGGCUCAUGUCCAGCUUGCCAUCCACCAUUACCACCAUGUCCUUUUUGGCAGGACUAUGCUCAAUUUGACAAAUGAAGUAUGUGAAAUAAGAGGUCUUGAUAUCUUCAAUUCAGCCUUUGGGAGAUCUAAAUUAUUUUCUUGGAGAUGAAGUUGUUAACCCUCAUAGCUAAGUUUGACCUAAAUCUGUGAAGGUCAGAAAUAGCCCUUUCGAGCUUCCAUUUUAAACUACAGGUUUCACCAACUGCGUUUUAACUUACUUUAUUCAAACAAACAAACAAACAAACAAACAAAAACAAAGAAACCAACCAAACAGACAAACAAAAACCCCACACAAUGAAUGAAAUAUUCCCACUAGUUAAGAGUGACCUUGGAAAUAAUUCACAAAUGUUAAGCACAGUUACACUGAUGCAUGGGCAGAUUGGUUGGAGAUAUACUCAUUAAGCAAAAAUAUCUCAAAAAGAAACCAUGCACUGAAACACAGUGGCAGUACAUAUGCAAAAUAAUAAAUCUUUUACAAAGUCCCAUCAGUACUGGGGAAAUUCUUCAUGAUUGGUGGACUUUGCCUGUGUCCCAGCUGAUUCAAAGUCAAUGGUCAUGCAGUUAUACUGUACUGUAUAUCAUCUAAAAAGCAAUUUUCUCUCCAUUUGCAGGAAAGCUUCAGAUUUGAUCGAUUAUACUGCUUUUUGCCUGAAUUUUACCUGUACAGAUCAAUGACUACCAUACUAUACAUGUAAUACCUGAGCAAAUAAACUAAGCUUGCUAUAAUUUUAUUUAUGGGGCAUCUUCAAGGGAUAUUUACAUUCUUUAUAUUUUAUUUACAUUCUGAUACAUUAGGUUAUGACAAAUGGUUUUCCUUCAAGUUGUUUACUCAGUUGUGUGCCUUGACAAAUAUGGUUUCACUAAGCAAGGAGUAAUUUUGUUUGCUUGCCCCAGGCUGAUUCCUGUUUGCAGUUGAAAGAAUUCCUUAUGCGAAAGGAAGGGUCUGUCUGGGAGGGUACAGCCAAUAACUUGCAAAUCAGAAGUAGACAAUUAUGCCAUAAGUGGCAUAAUGUCAUCUUUUUGCUCUCUUAACCCAGUUUGAGUUAAUAGAGAAAAUCGGAUUGUGCCUGCAUCACCGUGAGGGGACACCCUGACGUGUUGCACCUCUUUUCUUGACUUUGUAAUUUCAUCUGUUGGGGCAGAGCAUCAGAGAAGGGUACAGAUACAUCUAAAAGUAGGUGGUAAAUCAGGAAAUUAUACAUUUCUGAGCACUCUCCUAGAAAUCAUGUAUCAACCACCUCAAAACUUCUUGAAAUCCAAAGUACACCCCACUUCCUGUUCCCUGCUUUGAGCAAAGUCAUCUCAGCAUAUUUGUUCAUAGGAUGAGGAUGGAGGAGGAAUUACAGCCCCCUACCCCUACUGCUAUUUGCUUUUUCUCACAACUCCACUGACAGUGCCAAGGCUGCACCCUUCCGUGGCACACCUUCCUCAUGAUCCUCAGAAACAUCAUAUCACUAGAGUUUGCCUGACUAAUACUUUAGAAAAUAUCAAGGUCUUAUUUUCUUUUUAACUAAAAAUUUGAAAUAAGCUUGUUUCUGAAUGCAGUUCACUAUGAAGAAAAACCCAAAGCUGGGUUUCCUGCCCUAACAGGGUAUACCAAUGGAUUGCUAGGAUGCCAGUGUGCCAGCCUAUAAGCAGUAGGCUGGUUUGUAAAACGCCUGGGCAGCUCAUUAAUUGUUUAUAACUAAUGAAGAAAGCUUCACCUCCUCAGCUAUUUCUUAAUGAAAUUGUGGCUUAUUCCUUGGUUAGUAAAUCAAAUUAAACUGCAUUUACACACAUUUUUGUGACCAGCUAAUAGUCUGGAUAAAGACAGUCACUGCGUUUCAAACACAGCUCAUAGAUAAUUAAUGGACAUUCAAUGCUAACAACUGAAAUUACUAACACGUAAAAUACUGUAUCUGAGAGAAAUGUGUAAUAUUAAGAAUACUGGGUCCAAUUAAAAAAAAAAAAGAAAGAAAUAUUAGGAAAUAACCUUUGACAUCAACUUAGUUUUAUUCAUCUUUCAAAAAUGAUCUAUAGUUCAAAUGAGUAUUUCAACAACUUUUUAUGGAAUGAUGUGAUAUAAUUUGUAAUUGGUCAGUGUGACAAAAAGUACUAAUAAGAGACUGUUUUUCUUGCCCCAGUCAUUUGAUUCAGGUGAUUGUUUCAUGAGAUUAAUACUCUUGUCACAUAACACUUGCCUCUGUGUAGUAUUGUAUCUUCCUUUUGUGAGGAAGAUAUUGUGUCUGUGAAUCAAAUGCAAAUAAAAUUGUGGCAACUAAAU
ensembl:lncRNA